rnacentral:rRNA from 1 species
GCUGGCUAGGUGAUUCUAGCAUAGUGCACGUCUACACUUUUAUUACACCUGUGAACCCUAUUGUAGAUAACCCUCGCGAGAGGAUUCUAUGUAUUCAAUCAUCUCAUAUACAAAGCAUGUCAAUUAGAAUGUAAAACCAAAUUAUACAACUUUCAGCAAUGGAUCUCUUGGUUCUCGCAUCGAUGAAGAACGCAGCGAAUUGCGAUAAGUAAUGUGAAUUGCAGAUUUUCAGUGAAUCAUCGAAUCUUUGAACGCACCUUGCGCUCUUUGGUAUUCCGAAGAGCAUGCCUGUUUGAGUGUCAUUUAAUUAUCAACCAUAAAAGGGUAAUACUUUUUUUUGGCUUGGACUUGGGAUUUGCUGGCUUUCGGUAGUCGGCUUUCCUUAAAUGCAUUAGCAAGUGUUAGUCUACAUGGCACGGCCUUUGACGUGAUAAUGAUCGUCGUUCGCUGGAAGUGUUAGGGUCUUGCUUAUAGAAACCAACCGGUAGGCAUUAAUGAAUUUAUGUUGGCACGGCUUGAUCGCUGGAAGCAUAGUAGUGAUACUGUGUGGCACGGCCCUGAUAGCUGGAAGACACUAAUGAAUUUAUGUUGGCACGGCACAAUUUUGACCUCAAAUCAGGUAGGACUACCCGCUGAACUUAAGCAUAUCAAUAAG